CUACAGUGGACAUGGGAUAGCUGGGGCAAAAGAGUCAGAGCUAGACCAUGUGCCAAUCAUAGGCUGAAUUCUGACAAAGAGGAUGGACAAGACUAUCUUUUUAUUAAAUGAGUGAGAAUAACUGGAAUUCUUGUUCAAAAAGAAAUGGUACUCCGUAUUAGAGAGACCUGUGUGGCAGUGGAUGAGGGACAUAUCAACUGGACUAUGUAUCAAUUGGUGAAUGAGUAAACUGGUAUAUCCAUAUACUGGAGGACCACUUAGCAAUCAAAGGAGUACUUAGUCAAUUGUAGUAGUAAAAAGCACUGAGAUACACACACACACACACACACACACACACACACACACACACACAGAGGAAUAUGAAUGAAUCCCAGUAUGAAUGAAUCCCAAAGACAGUGUUCAAAGGGAAUAGGUGAGGAAAAUGACUCUAUGCAGUUAGUUCCCCCACCAUUUAAAUCUAAGUUCUAAAAGAGGCAAAAUAAUACUGUAGUGACUACCGAGAGUCGGAGGUGGUGCCAGAGGACCUAACAUACUUCUCUUUCCACCCAGUAUUGUGACUACCUGCAGUGAACUUUACCCAUUGAACAGCACCCCAAAUCGGUAUGCGACAUGACCGCACGUGGAUUGCAGAGCUGCAUGUGCAUGGCAUUCUGUACUUGCUCACCCUUAGCCUCCUUUCCCCAGGAGCCCUGAAGCCACAAGGCCAGGCCCUGACUGAGGGUUUUGGCCUUGUCACGAGGGUGUUCUGAUUUGGCUGAGGCUGCCAGCUCCACCUCAACCUCCUACAACUGAUGAGCCUCACGAGAAUCUGAUGCAAGAAUGCAUGAAAAAGGACACAGGCCUCCCAUGGAUAUCAACCGAAUGUGACAAGCUUAAGAAAGACUAGGCACCUCUCCUCAUGUUCAGGCCAGAUGGGGCAAGCCACUAGGAGGAGAAGGGUCCCAAAAGCCUGCAAAAGAGCCAGAGACACACCCUGCUCACACUGCUUGGAGUUCCACAAGAAGACCAAGCUACACAACUGUAACACAGGUCAGUCCCAUGCAGGCCCAGGAGACUUUCAAAGCAAAGAACUUUGCAGUAUAAUAGGAAUUCAAUCUGUUGUUGGAGUCUUCUGCCUUGGAACAUGAGAUAGAAUAUAGGUGACUUUGGACUAAAAUUUGAUUGGUGA